UUCUUUCUCGUCAUAACAGGUGCCGGCUUGAAAGCCGGAGAAUAGGGAAGUACGUGAGAUUCGUACACUGUACCCGCAACUGUACAACGGUAAACCGCCGAUCAGAGCACAUGACCUUGUGUGCACGAAAAGCGGUCUUUUCAGGUCACUGCGCUGUUUUCCUCCCAGGAAAAGCGCGGGAAGGUCUGAAAAGGAUGUAAACCGUUAAAGUCAGGAGACCUGCCGGUUAUGCUAUUGCAAU
rnacentral:ncRNA from 2 species